CCUACGGGAGGCAGCAGUGGGGAAUAUUGCACAAUGGGGGAAACCCUGAUGCAGCGACGCCGCGUGAGUGAAGAAGUAUUUCGGUAUGUAAAGCUCUAUCAGCAGGGAAGAAAAUGACGGUACUUGCUUAAGAAGCCCCGGCUAACUACGUGCCAGCAGCCGCGGUAAUACGUAGGGGGCAAGCGUUAUCCGGAUUUACUGGGUGUAAAGGGAGCGUAGACGGCAGCACAAGUCUGAAGUGAGAUGCCAGGGCUUAACCCCGGAACUGCUUUGGAGACUGUGCAGCUAGAGUGCAGGAGAGGUGAGUGGAAUUCCGUGUGUAGCGGUGAAAUGCGUAGAUAUUAGGAGGAACACCAGUGGCGAAGGCGGCUUACUGGACUGUAACUGACGUUGAGGCGCGAAAGCGUGGGGAGCAAACAGGAUUAGAUACCCGGGUAGUC
rnacentral:rRNA from 1 species